AACCCAGACUCCUACGGGAGGCAGCAGUGGGGAAUAUUGCACAAUGGGGGGAACCCUGAUGCAGCAAUGCCGCGUGAAGGAUGAAGGUUUUCGGAUUGUAAACUUCUUUUGUACGGGACGAAGAAAGUGACGGUACCGUAAGGAUAAGCCACGGCUAACUACGUGCCAGCAGCCGCGGUAAUACGUAGGUGGCAAGCGUUAUCCGGAUUUACUGGGUGUAAAGGGAGCGUAGGCGGCGAUGCAAGUCAGAAGUGAAAGCCCUGGGCUCAACUCCGGGACUGCUUUUGAAACUGUGUUGCUAGAUUGCAGGAGAGGUAAGUGGAAUUCCUAGUGUAGCGGUGAAAUGCGUAGAUAUUAGGAGGAACACCAGUGGCGAAGGCGGCUUACUGGACUGUAAAUGACGCUGAGGCUCGAAAGCGUGGGGAGCAAACAGGAUUAGAUACCCUUGUA
rnacentral:rRNA from 1 species